rnacentral:rRNA from 1 species
AGUAAUGCAUCGGAACGUACCGAGUAGUGGGGGAUAACUGUCCGAAAGGAUGGCUAAUACCGCAUACGCUUUGAGAAGGAAAGCGGGGGAUCUUCGGACCUCGCGCUAUUCGAGCGGCCGAUGUCUGAUUAGCUAGUUGGUGGGGUAAAGGCCUACCAAGGCGACGAUCAGUAGCGGGUCUGAGAGGAUGAUCCGCCACACUGGGACUGAGACACGGCCCAGACUCCUACGGGAGGCAGCAGUGGGGAAUUUUGGACAAUGGGCGCAAGCCUGAUCCAGCCAUGCCGCGUGUCUGAAGAAGGCCUUCGGGUUGUAAAGGACUUUUGUCAGGGAAGAAAAGCUUUGGGUUAAUACCCUGGAGUGAUGACGGUACCUGAAGAAUAAGCACCGGCUAACUACGUGCCAGCAGCCGCGGUAAUACGUAGGGUGCGAGCGUUAAUCGGAAUUACUGGGCGUAAAGCGAGCGCAGACGGUUUGUUAAGCAGGAUGUGAAAUCCCCGGGCUCAACCUGGGAACUGCGUUCUGAACUGGCAGGCUAGAGUAUGUCAGAGGGGGGUAGAAUUCCACGUGUAGCAGUGAAAUG